rnacentral:snRNA from 1 species
GUUCUCUCUUGUGUGGCACAUGUCCUAAAUUUGGAACAAUAUGGAGAAGAUUAGAAGAGCAAGGAUGAUACAUCAAUUCACAAAGAAGCCAUAUAUUCUU